rnacentral:rRNA from 1 species
AUUGAACGCUGGCGGCAUGCUUUACACAUGCAAGUCGAACGGUAACAGGCCGCAAGGUGCUGACGAGUGGCGAACGGGUGAGUAAUGCAUCGGAACGUGCCCAGUCGUGGGGGAUAACGCAGCGAAAGCUGCGCUAAUACCGCAUACGAUCUAUGGAUGAAAGCGGGGGACCGUAAGGCCUCGCGCGAUUGGAGCGGCCGAUGUCAGAUUAGGUAGUUGGUGGGGUAAAGGCUCACCAAGCCAACGAUCUGUAGCUGGUCUGAGAGGACGACCAGCCACACUGGGACUGAAGCGCGGCCCAGACUCCUACGGGAGGCAGCAGUGGGGAAUUUUGGACAAUGGGCGCAAGCCUGAUCCAGCAAUGCCGCGUGCAGGAAGAAGGCCUUCGGGUUGUAAACUGCUUUUGUACGGAACGAAACGGUCCUGGUUAAUACCCGGGGCUAAUGACGGUACCGUAAGAAUAAGCACCGGCUAACUACGUGCCAGCAGCCGCCGUAACAC